rnacentral:rRNA from 1 species
UAAGGGGCAAGCGUUAUCCGGAUUUACUGGGUGUAAAGGGUGAGUAGGCGGCAAUGCAAGUCAUAUGUGAAAUUCCGGGGCUUAACCCCGGAGCUGCAUAAGAAACUGCGUUGCUUGAGUGCAGGAGAGGCAAGCGGAAUUCCUAGUGUAGCGGUGAAAUGCGUAGAUAUUAGGAAGAACGCCGGUGGCGAAGGCGGCUUGCUGGACUGUAACUGACGCUGAGUCACGAAAGCGUGGGGAGCGAA